UGGGGAAUAUUGCACAAUGGGGGGAACCCUGAUGCAGCAAUGCCGCGUGGGUGAAGAAGUAUUUCGGUAUGUAAAGCCCUAUCAGCAGGGAAGAAAAUGACGGUACCUGACUAAGAAGCCCCGGCUAACUACGUGCCAGCAGCCGCGGUAAUACGUAGGGGGCGAGCGUUAUCCGGAUUUACUGGGUGUAAAGGGAGCGCAGGCGGCGUGGCAAGUCAGAUGUGAAAACCCGGGGCCCAACCCCGGGACUGCAUUUGAAACUGCCAUGCUGGAGUGCCGGAGAGGUAAGUGGAAUUCCUAGUG
rnacentral:rRNA from 1 species